UUGUAGGCAGAAUAGAAGAAUAUAGCAGUGUGGAUUCAACCCUGAAGACACCAAGGAGAGGACAGCCCUGUUGACACCUUGAUUUUAUACUCCUCACCUCCAGAACUGCAGGAGAAUCAAUCUGCAUUGUUUUAAGCCACUGAAUCUUGAACUUGGACCUGGUGGCAGUAUCUACACUACAGAAAUGGGAAAGUGCUGCAAAGAAGUUGUCAAACACUUACCAGCAGAGCACUCGCUGCAAUUCAAAGAAAUCAUUUAGAAACAGCUGUAUUGCAACAGAUCAUCCUACUGGAAAACCUUAGGCAGUUGUUCUGAAGAUCCUGACCUUUCAACUAUGGCAGAAGGAUACACUGAUGAGGU